AACGAACGCUGGCGGCAGGCCUAACACAUGCAAGUCGAGCGAACCCUUCGGGGUUAGCGGCGGACGGGUUAGUAACGCGUGGGAAUAUACCCUUUGGUACGGAAUAGCCUCGGGGAAACUGAGAGUAAUACCGUAUGUGCCCUUCGGGGGAAAGAUUUAUCGCCAAAGGAUUAGCCCGCGUUGGAUUAGAUAGUUGGUGGGGUAAUGGCCUACCAAGUCUACGAUCCAUAGCUGGUUUGAGAGGAUGAUCAGCAACACUGGGACUGAGACACGGCCCAGACUCCUACGGGAGGCAGCAGUGGGGAAUCUUAGACAAUGGGCGCAAGCCUGAUCUAGCCAUGCCGCGUGAGCGAUGAAGGCCUUAGGGUUGUAAAGCUCUUUCAGGGGGGAAGAUAAUGACUGUACCCCCAGAACGAAGCCCCGGCUAACUCCGUGCCAGCAGCCGCGGUAA
rnacentral:rRNA from 1 species